UGGACAGAUUAUUGUAUUCGGUUGUAUUCACGACAUGAAAACAGGGGAUUAUACUGUUUUUAAACGGAAAGUGAAUCAGUUAACAUAAUAGACUCCU
rnacentral:pre_miRNA from 1 species